ensembl:lncRNA
AUACAGCAUGAGGACCCAGUUACACAUACAUGUAUAUGUAAUUUUUUCUUCCAUUGUCAUGCUGCGAUGUAAGUAUCUAGAAAUAGUUCUCAGUGCUACACAGCAGGAUCUCAUUGUAAAUCCAUUCCAAGAUACACAAUGGAAUACUACUCAGCCAUAAAAAAGAAUGAAAUAAUGCCCUUUGCAGCAGCAUGGAUAGAAAUAGAGACUCUCAUACUGAGUGAAGUAAGAGAAAGACAAAUACCAUAUGAUAUCACUCAUAUCUGGUAUCUCAUAUGCAGCACAAAUGAACCUUUCCACAGAAAAGAAAAUCAUGGACUUUGAGAAUAGACUUGUGGUUGCCUGGGGGGCGGGGAGGGAAUGGGAGGGAUCAGGAGCUUGGGGUUAACGGAUGCAAACUAUUGCUCUUGGAAUGGAUUUACAAUGAGAUCCUGAGGAACUUUUAAACUGUUUUCCAAAGUGACUACAUACCAGCAGUUCGCUGUGCCACUGAGUUCACCUCUUCUCUUGUAUCUGGUAGCAAAUCUGAGGAAGAAACCAUUCAUUUAUUCAAUCAUUUAAUGUUUACUGAACAUCAACUGUGCCAGGCACUGGGGACAAAAUGAGAAAAAUACGGUUCCAAUCCUCACACAGCUCAUGGUUAACAGGGCAUAUGUAUAGCUAUUUGUAGAAGGGUACAUGAUAGUGUGAAGAAUGUGGUGGAGGAAAAAUCCAGAGUCCCUACUGUGGCCAAUAGAGGAUGGUGGGAAUAAGGAUAGAGCAUUGGAGGAGGUAGGAAGGUCAUGAAAGGCCCUGUGAACCAGGACUUUAUCCAAGAACACAUAUAAAAAUAAAGGUUCUUCUAGACAGGGAAGUGGCUUGAUCAUAUCUGAGUUUUAGAUAAUCACUCUAAUUGAAGCAGAAACCUAGAGGAGAAAGAACUCCAUGAUGGUAAGGGUAACGAGCCCCCGUGAUAACUCAACUGCUAGAGUGGUAAGGAUCCUUCUAGUCUCUGGGAGGGCCUCUGGGGAGCUCGUUCUGUGUUCUUAGCUUCAUGGCUAAGACUCCUAACUUCCAUAUCAAAUUCCUCCUAUAACCUCUUCCUCUUUACUUAAAGCAGUGGCUCUCAAAGUGGGGUCCCUGGACCAGAAUCAUUUGUGAACUUGUUAGAAAUUCAAAUUUCUUGGGCCUUACUCUAAAUGGAUUCAGUCAAAAAUUUUGAGAGUGAGCCCAGCAAUCUGUGUUUCACAAACCCUUCAGGGGCUUCAGAUAAACGUUCAGGUUUGAGAACCAUUGAGGUAACUCAAGAGAGUUUCCAUUUCUUGCAACUGAUCCACUAACACAAGGUAGAGUAUUUCAACAUAAAGAGAUGUUACAAGGCAGUACAUGCUUAAUUGCCUAAUGGCUUAGACUAGGAGUCAGAAAACAAUGGCUCAUGGGCCAAAUCCUACCAGCCCCCUGUUUUUGUAAAUGAAGUUUUACUGGAACACAUCCAUGCCCAUUUGUUGAAGUAUUGUCUAUGGCUGCUUCUGCACUACAGUAGAAGAGUGACAGAAAUUACAUAGCCCAUAAGGUGGAAAAUAUUUACAAUAUGACCCUUUACCAAAAAAGCUGGUCAAUGCCUGAUCUAGACUAAUUGCAUGAUUCAGGGACAUUCUGACGAAGGAGACAUCAUAAGGGAAUGCCAGAGUCUAGGUGACAAAAUAAAACACAAAUCCAGGUGAUAAUAAAAGCUAGCAUCUCCAAGUAUGAUGUUGGAAGACACAUUUCUUGAUGAGCAGGAGUAGUUGGACCAUAUUAAAUCAAGGCUUACACCUUCACAAAAGACCUCACUGACAAUAAGACCUGGUGAUUUCAAACUUAAAGGGGCUUGCUUACUAAAAUGCAAAUUAUAUAUAUUUAUAACUGACUCACUUUGCUGGAUACCUGAAACUAACACAAUAUUGUAAAUCAACUAUACUUCAAUAAAUUUUAAAAAAUAAAAAACUAUACUUCAAUUUAAAAAGUUUAAAUGCAAAUCCCACCUCCAUUUCCAUUCUUUUCUUUCUUUCUUUCUUUUUUCUAUUUUUAUGGCCGCACCUGCAGCAAUGGAAGUUCCCAGGCUAGGGGUCAAAUUGGAGCUGCAGCUGACAGCCUACACCACAGCCACAGCAACACAGGACCCAAGCUGCCUCUGUGACCUACACCACAGCUCACGGCAAUGCCAGAUCCUUAACCCACUGAGUAAGGCCAGGGAUCGAACCCGCAUCCUCACAGAGACAAUGUCAGGUCUUUAACCUGUUGAGCCACAAUGGGAACUCCUCCCUUUCCAUUCUGAUUCAGAGGUAUGGAUCUGAGGUGGAGUCCAGGAAUUUGCAAGCUUACCCAGUGUCCCAGAAGAAUCUGCUGCAGGUGCUACCUGACUAGCGUUGGAUGAGUGCUGGGCUGGAGGCUGGUCCAGGGGCUUUAAGCAACCAGGACCAUGAAGCUGCACAAU